AUGUAGCUCAAUUUAUAUUUUAGAAGCCAGUCAGGCAAUUAAUCAAGUUCAAUUCAGUGAAUGUGGAAUAGAAUCCUAAAGCAAAUUCAAUUCAUUUUUCAGAUAACAUAAUUUAGAUUCCUGAAAUAGGCAGUACAGUAAAUGAUGUGAAAGUUAUGUGGAAUACUCAAGAACAGUGUGUGUAAAGUAAAAAACUGUUUUAGGUUAGACAAAUUAUAUUUCAGCAAUGAUUGUGUGUUUCAAAUGCAAGGCAACUUGCUGAUUGUACAUUUAAUUACAUCAGAGAAAGGAAAACCCAUCAGAUCACUCAAUAAAUACAAACAUCAGCAGAAACUAAUUGUGAUCACUCCACCCGAAGUGGGAUCAAGAAUGUAUAAAUGAUGAGAGAACAGAUUACGUUUGAGGAAA